GACGAAGGGGGCUAGCGUUGUUCGGAAUUACUGGGCGUAAAGCGAGUGUAGGUGGUUGUCCAAGUUGGAUGUGAAAGCCUUGAGCUCAACUCAAGAAAUGCAUUCAGGACUGGGCGGCUAGAGGACCGGAGAGGAUAGUGGAAUUCCCAGUGUAGUGGUGAAAUACGUAGAUAUUGGGAAGAACACCGGUGGCGAAGGCGGCUCUCUGGACCGAGACUGACGCUGAGGCGCGAAAGCGUGGGGAGCAAACAGG
rnacentral:rRNA from 1 species